rnacentral:rRNA from 1 species
UACGGGGGGGGCAAGCGUUGUUCGGAAUUACUGGGCGUAAAGGGCGCGUAGGCGGUUUGCUAAGUUGAAUGUGAAAACUCUGGGCUUAACCCAGAGCCUGCAUUCAAUACUGGCAGGCUAGAGUUCUGGAGGGGAUAGCGGAAUUCCUGGUGUAGCGGUGAAAUGCGUAGAUAUCAGGAGGAACACCGGUGGCGAAGGCGGCUAUCUGGACAGAGUCUGGCGCUGAGGCGCGAAAGCUAGGGGAGCAAACAGG